UAUUUUAAUAGCUUUUGAAGAGCAUAGUAAUGAAAAUACUAGUGAGAUUAAUUCUUAAAAUAU
rnacentral:tRNA from 1 species